GUGGAGCUGCUUGGGAUUCUCUAUCUUUGCCCCUCCCCCUCUUGCUCUCUGUCUCUCUCAAAAUAAAUAAAUAAACUUUAAAAAAAUUUAAAAAGAUGCUAGGAAACAUGGGGUGAAAUUUACUACUCAAAGGCCCAGAAGUCAAUUUUUAUGUUACAUGUUUAACGAUAAUAACUGUAUUUGAAUGAGAAUAUGGAUAUAUACAGAAGUUAACCUUCACACUUUAGGAACUAUACCUUCAAGAAUAUGGGCACAAACUCUCACCAUUUUUAAGGCUAGGGAUUUUUUGCCACUCUUCCUCUCAUUAACUGGCUUGUUAAUAUCAUCUUUUUCUAACCAGAGAUUGCUAUAAUUAUAACAAUUGUUUUUACCCCCGAUAAACCUUCAUAGGAGAAGUAAAAAUAUAUAAAUGGGUAGGCAUUUUUAAAUAUCUGUGGAAGAUUGUUUCAUUGACAUGUAGCUAAAGGUACAUUUUGCAUGGCAAAAUAAUUGCUGUGAUGUACUUAGUUGUAUGGAGUCUUUUUCAGAACCUGUAGGAUUAAAAAAAAGUAAUUUAAAAGUUUAAAUCAGUUUUAUACUAAUGAAAUAUAACCACAUUGCUCUGCUCUUUGAAUAGUUUUCAUUGAACUGGUGAUAAGCCAAAAUUCAGCUUUAUUCCUGGAAAGAACUUUAAAUGAAAAUAGCUACAACCAGUCCCACUUCUUCUUGAGGUGGAUGGAAUUUCUGUGUAAGAAGCCUAGGCUUAGUGCAAUCUGAGGCUCUGGAGCAAAUCUCUUUGUACAAAGUUAGAUGGGUCCCAAGGGAUGUUUCAUUUGUGACCUUGGUAGUAUUCUGUCUUAAAAAGGCUUUUCCUUCAAUGCAAGGCAUGAAGGAUGUUGCUACCCUCUACUAGUGUUUCAUUCCAGAUCAAACAUGAUUACUAAACAGCACACUGAUAAUAUCUUUUGCAUAGGGCUAUGUUCAGGAAGAUUCAACAUAUACCUCUAAAGAGAAAAAUCACAAAACACAUUAAGGAAAUAAUGCAGCAUAAAGCAACAGAUAUUAUAAAGUAUCCCUGCUUAUAUUGAGCUAAGAAAAACCUACUUACAAGAUCGUCUAUAUGAAAGUAGUAACGGAAACUGAUCAUUAGUUAUGUCACCAGUUCUUACAAAUAUUUUCCUCUUCAAAAUAUGAGUUGCCAGGCAUCACUACAACUUAUUCUAUUAACUCUGCAGUAUAUGACAAAUAUGAUUAAUUUUUUUUUGUUUUUUGAGAUUAGGUCCCAAAAGACCUUCAUUCAACCCUACUGAAAAGUCCUCAUAACUUGGCUUUGGAGUAAAUGUGCUCCCCACAGAUUAGGUUAAAUUUCCUCCUUAAUACAAAAUUAUAAAAGUCAUUCAAAAGAAGAGAACUUACACAAAAGUAAGCCUGAAUAAAAACAGCAGGCAAUUUUGUGUUUUCAUUCCCUAAGCAUCAAACAACUAAAAAUAAAGAUGAGAUGUACUACCUUACCUACUGCUUAAGGUUUUAGUAGAAUUCCAAAUAAAACACGUAAAGUGCAGAUUCUGGGUUUCUAGAUUUAUUAGUGUGUUCUACCCUAGAACUAACUGGAACCAACUUUGCUGACAAUGGUAAUAUUCUAUGAAUGCUUAUUUCCACUGUCAAUAUUAUCAUGUUUCAUUAUUAAUAUGGGUGGGCGAUCAUUUAGUGAGACAGUCUAACAUACAUGGGCCAAAAGGAAAUCUCUAGAUGAUAAGAAAAUUAAGUUAGUGUCAUUUGCGGUCAACUAGGAACACAGUAUGUGGAAAUUUUAAGAAGUCACAAUCAAAACAAGUAUUUGUAUGAUAUUAAAGUGUAUACCACUCUUUCAAAUACAUUAUCUUAUUAAAUGAGCACACCCACAUGUUUUUACCUGUAGGACCCUUAAGUUAACACAUUUCCAAUUAUACCUCCAAAUCACAGAAAGCCAGUGAAAUCAUGGGCCAAUUGUGAAGUAAGUGCCAUUUUUCCCAUUAAAAAAAAAAAAAAUGUCCGUCAAGAAUAAACCACUUUAUAGUCCCAUGCCUUUUGAGUUAAACUUUACUAACUAGUCUUCAUACCAGGCAAUUGAUAUGUUUUGUUUGCAUGAAAGGUUAAAUUUCCAAUAAUUACUUGACCUAUUCUCAAAGAAUUCCUUAUAAAAUCCAUGCUUCUAGUAUUUCUCUGGGGAUAUGAGAAUGUGGAUGGUAGGCAGGAAAGUUGUGCUGGUGUUCUCUUUCCUUCUGCAUGGAAUGACCGCUCAAUAUUGUAUGUAAGAACAACGCUGCGCUGACUCCAGAUGGGACCUCCAGGUAAGAGAGGGGGGCGUGUAAUAAAGAAAAGGUCUGCCUAUUGCAAAUGGUAGCAGGGAAGCUAAAUACGAGGGUGUUUUCUUGGUGGUGAGGGGUGGUUCCCUAAGGUACAAGGAUUACGAAAGGCCCUUAAUUGAAUGUACUGCCCACUCUCAAAGUCACGCAGUGCCUCCCAAAAGGCAGACUGCCCGUUAACCUGACUUUGGAAUAUCAGUCGGGGCUCUAGGCUAAAUCUCCACUCUAGUUCACUCAUCUUAAAAAUAGACCCUGUAAGUGGCUUAGGUUAGAAAUAGAGUCACAGAGAUCAUUAGAUCGUUGGGUGAGUCAACUCCUCCACUAGAAGCACUGUUGGGAAGUUAAAACGAAAUCAUGAACUAGUUAUCACAAGCUUUUCCACCGAACGUUUCAUCUUGACGGAGAAGGGCAAGAGCGCUCAGCGGGACUGGCUGUGCCCGCAUUCUCCCGGCAGCGCCAACUCUAGGGCGUCAGGGCAGCGGCCGCAGCGGCCGGGGCGCUGCAGGGCACGAGUGCAGGCGCGGCGCCGGCGCCUGCCUCUCAGCCCUGCCCCCGCACCGCCGUAAUUGCGGGUUUUAAUUAAGGAGGAGGAGUCCGGUUGCCUGAGCCGUAAAAGUGAUUCUUUUUUUUUUUUUUUUCCCAAGAGGAGACCGGCUUCCUGCAUUAAAGGCUUUCCCCUGCCUCCCCACUCAUUCUUGCACCCCCGCUGCCGCUCUCGCGGAGGAGGGGAGAAUACCGGUGCGUACCUCGCUUCCUGUUUAACUCACGCGCUCGCUCACGCUUUCUCGGAGCAGCAGGGGAGCGACCGCAGCUCCGCCCCAAGAGGGGGCCCGCGAAACCCAGCCCGGCUAGCCCAAGCGCGGCGCCCCUGCCUGCGCCCCCUGCCCCUCGUCGGCGUCCUGUGCGGUGCCCACUGGCCGGCGGCGCCCAGGAAAGGGCCAAGGAGGAAUGCUGCCCGGGAAACGUGGAGUGUCCCAGGCAAUGAAAAAAUAAAUUUGUGAUGAAUUGGCAACACAAAGAAUUUUGAGCUUGGAAUAUUCAUUGCUGUCCCUAACUCUGAUGAUAAAGUUGCCUUCUAACUCCUGAUACAGAUGUCAGUGGCUGUGGUCAACUUCUAUGGCUCUGCUACAUGUCUUCUCAUUCCAGAUUCCAGCCUCAAAAAGUGUGCCUUAUUUGGGACAUCCAAAAAAGAAGAACUCUUGAUGCCUCCUAAAGUUUCUAAAUGUCCAGAAGUGUUCCUCAGAAAGAAUGUGCAUAGGUAACGAGUUUCUCAAUAAAAAGCUUCUUCAUAAAAACUACAUAGAGGACUUAUGCUUCCAGAUUGAUUGCACCGUGGGAAGAUUCAGAGCUCCCUUCUUCUGUAGACACUCAGCUGAACGAGAAAACACAAACAUCAAAAACAGCCUUCUGCAAUGUUCCCCAUUAGCCAAAACCACUCAGAAGCACAUGGCACCAGAGCCUGGGAAACAGCCUGAAGGGGUCUGCACCCCUGAAAAACAGAAUGGAGGGUGAAGAAGAAGAAAGAUCUGUGGGAUAACAACUUGAGUCUCAGCUGGAAUAUCUCAGUCAUUUCCUGCCAGGUUCUGAAAUUAAAAUUUUGGAGUUAAGGGGGCAUGGUGGAGGCAGGGAAGAACACAACAAACAAACUGAAAUAAUACAUGGAGAUAUCAAAAAUAUAUUUAGAUUUUAGAAAAAAUUCAUAUUUAAACUCUCAAAGUUUAACAAAUAGUUUUCAAUGAGAUGUUUAAUAGCAUUUUCAUUAUCUGACUCUUCAAAACACCUGGCAACACCAAAAACAUAUUUUCAAAAAUACAUUUUAUUUUUUUUGUAUUCAGGGGACUCUGAAAUGAAUGAAUUAGCAAUAUUUUAUUUCCUUUAACUCAAAUCUUUUAUUCAAUAAAGAAAGAAAGUUAAUACAAGCCCAUACUAAUUUAUAUAGUCAAUUAGUCAAUGAUGUUAAAUCAUUAUAUUUACAUACUAAGCAUUUAAAAAAUAUCUGUUUGUAGGGAAUAUACUGGAUAUUGGAGUAUACUCCAAGAUACUGGAGGCUACUCAAGAGUCAAAAUAAUAUUUCUUUUACUGAUGAAUGAGUAAACAUCAGCCUAUUUUUCACCCUUAGGUUGUACAAUAUCAUUAAGCUACUGUACCUUGGAAUUAUCCAUGUUUUUCAAACCCUAUUAACAGAAAUUAAUUCAGUGAAGUAAAGUGGCAUUUUCUCCCAAAGUCCAUUAUAUGUGAACAUAGCUCAUGAUAGUGAUCAAUUUCACAACUUAUUCAUCCAAACGUCUUGCAUUAACAUGGUUUGAAUUUAUACUAAAAACAAUAAUAUAUUGCUGAAAAAUAUACUAACAUUAGCAUAUUUAUAAACCAAAAUCUUAAGAAGAUAAUGUAGUGUCUCAAGAUUAUCAUACUUAGGAGAGAAGUCACAAAAGAUACUUAACUUGUAAUUCAAAAUGGUAAUAAUAUAGUAAAUCAUGAAAAUGUUUUAAUCUCUUAUUGUGUAGGUCAAUGAAAUUGUGAUUAGUAUGAGUUUGGAGGCAAAACAUCUUAUAUAUCCUGAGUUACUUUUGUCUUUAUAAUGAGAGGUAGAGAUCCCAGGGCUAACCGUCAACUCAACCAAAAUAAUUGCAUGAAUUUGGAAGAAAUUAUGUCCCAUGAACCAUUUUUCACAAUUCUUCCUAAAACAAGUGAACAGUGUGUGUUUGACAGAAAGAUUAUAUUAUAGGCUGAAUUGUCUGCCCCCAAACUUCAUAUUUUGAAGUUCUAACCUGCAGUAUCUGAGAAUUUGACUAUAUUUGGAGACAAAAUCUAUAGAGAUGAUAAAGUUACAAUGAGGUCAGUAGGAUGGCCCUGGUCCAAGAUGGCUAGUGUCCUCAUAAGAAGUGGAAGUUAGAACACAAACCCAUACAGAAGGAAGAUUUGGCCUUUGGUUCCAAUUUUCAGGUUACAAACUACUGAACAUUUCUUUCCCAUCUUUAUAUUAUCAUCUUAUUUUGUAUUAUUUUCAAGGUCUAUCUAUACUUUCAUGUAGUGAAUAUCUUACUGAAAGUGACUUUACACUAUCUGUGGAAUAAUAUAUGAUUAUUUCUAAAAUUCAUAAUUUGACUUGUUUAUAAAGGAAAAAUAUUUUUUUCCUUUAUAAAUUUCAUGCAUUUAUAAGUAUAAUGCAUUUUAAAUUAGUUCUUAACAGCAAGGCAAGGUGAAGAAAUUAAAGGCAAAUGACAUACAAAUUAUAAGAAGAUUGAAGAUGAUAGCAACACUGGUUAUUAUACAGAAAAAAGGAAACCGUAGAAUCAUAGAAUCAUUGAAUCACCUAAAUGUCAGAGUCUGUAAACUUGCAGAUUUGAACCACAUUUGAUAUUAUUUUACCCUCUAGCUCAGGAGUUGUAGGUGAAGUGAAACAGCUGUAAAAGUCUGGGGUUUUGAAAUCAUGCUGCUGAAGCACAGGUUAUAUAUACAUUAGAUUUAUUUAUUUUAUUAUAUAUUUUCCCAUAAAUAAAUGUUCUUCCACAGGCAGAUUAAUCAGUUUGCUAUCUCUACAGAAUUCAAUGCAUAUUGCCAAGAAUGCUAUCUAAAACAGGGUCUUCCCUCCAAACCACCCCCAUUCUCUAUCAACUGUCUACAUGCUCCUCAACCUCCAAGGAUUUGCUAAGGCCUCAUUUCUUUCAGAAGCCACCCCAGGUCAUAGUGAGAUCAUGUAGAUUUUUAAUUCUUCUGACCACUGAGUUGUCAAAGUCUUUGUGCCAUAAAGUACUGCAGGAUGGCCUCAUUUGACACUGGAACUUCACCCAUGAGAUUUUUAUUAGGCCUGGGAUAUAUGAAAAAUGUCAUUUUUAAAAUAUAUCUGGUGAUGUCUUAGAGUAAUGUAAGAAAAUAGUGGUAUAGGCAGCUGUAAACUCUCAUACAUUCACAGAAUCAUCAAAAAAAUAAAAAAAGACAUAGGGGCACCUGGGUGGUUCAGUUGCUUAAGUGUCUGACUUGAUUUUGGCUCAAGUCAUGAUCUCACAGUCA